GUCUACACUUCUUAAAUUAAAGUGUCUCCCUUUGUCCAUUUUAAAUGUUGGGAGGUAUACAAUGGUCACCACCCCCAUGUUCAAACAAUUGAACAACAGAAUACAAACAUUAAUUGGGUUUCAGGUAACAAGCAGGACAGUACAGGGAAUAUUGCAGUAAGGUUCCUGUUACAGCAUGUUUGGUAGUGUGAAAGAAACCAUUUCUAUUUUAUUUAUACCCUCUAUUUACCCCUAUUAAUUUUGUGUAGAAUAGCAGUAUCUCAC